UAAUAUGUUUACAGCAGAUCUUCAUCUAAUUAUGACAGACUCACAUUUAAUUGUUUAGAAUCAUCGAUUAUUGUAAAUCUCUACAUCAUUGAUUUUCAUAAAAACAUAUUGAAAAAAAAUUCAUAAAAUUAUGUU
rfam:Populus trichocarpa scaffold_15_contig_212, whole genome shotgun sequence.